rnacentral:rRNA from 1 species
AUUGAACGCUGGCGGCAUGCCUUACACAUGCAAGUCGAACGGUAACAGGUCUUCGGAUGCUGACGAGUGGCGAACGGGUGAGUAAUACAUCGGAACGUGCCCGAUCGUGGGGGAUAACGCAGCGAAAGCUGUGCUAAUACCGCAUACGAUCUACGGAUGAAAUCGGGGGAUCGCAAGACCUCGCGCGGACGGAGCGGCCGAUGGCAGAUUAGGUAGUUGGUGGGAUAAAAGCUUACCAAGCCGACGAUCUGUAGCUGGUCUGAGAGGACGACCAGCCACACUGGGACUGAGACACGGCCCAGACUCCUACGGGAGGCAGCAGUGGGGAAUUUUGGACAAUGGGCGCAAGCCUGAUCCAGCCAUGCCGCGUGCAGGAUGAAGGCCUCGGUGUAACGUAGCUUUUGUUACGGUAACGAAAAAGGACUACUCUCUAAUACAGGGUGG